GACAGAGGGGGCAAGCGUUGCUCGGAAUUACUGGGCGUAAAGGGCGCGUAGGCGGGAUGGCAAGUCGGUCGUGAAAUCCCUCGGCUCAACUGAGGAGCGUCGAUCGAAACUGCCGUUCUUGAGGGUUGCAGAGGAGACUGGAAUUCCCGGUGUAGCGGUGAAAUGCGCAGAUAUCAGGAGGAACACCGGUGGCGAAGGCGGGUCUCUGGGCCGUAACUGACGCUGAGGAGCGAAAGCAUGGGGAGCGAACAGG
rnacentral:rRNA from 1 species